rnacentral:sRNA from 1 species
GAUGGAAAACACUAGACAGCCUUAAUAUUUUUAAACUAGCCAGAUAACUCAAUGGCUGGACGAAGAAUAUCCUGCCCCAACUUCCUUGGCCUCCACUGGUGGUGGAGGCUACAAACUAUCGAUGCCCGGAGACCUACACGUCUAUUGCUCCCUCAGCUCCACUGCCUGCUCUGAGUCUCCCUCUCAUCCCCAGCUCAUCCUCCCGGGACCCGGAAGUCCCACCUUUUCCCUUUCUCCCAGCAUUUGGUUUCCACUGUCUUAUUGACACAAUCAGGAACCAAUUGGGGAAACGAUACCGUCACCUACAUGAUCUCUUGCUUGUCAUGUUGUGGUUCAAACUGCCACCACUGCUAGUCCUCUGCUGGUCGUUAUCCUUUAGCUGGUUCCUUACCACCCUCUGGUAUUGUGAAAUCUAGUGCUCAGGUGGGAGGCUUUUACGUCGGAUACAGCUGGAAUGUUCUGAGUCCUGUGUCUAAAUUACACGGUGUCUUCAGCAAAGUUACUAAAGAGAUCUCCCCUAUGCUACUCCCCUAUGCAUGCAUACGUACUACUACGCAGAUGAGGAAGCUUGAGGCCAGAAGGAUUUCAAACCUAGUUGAAGUCACACAGGAGGUGAUGGAGUUAGACGUGAAUCUCAGCCUGAGGUCGUGGUGGUCCUGACUCUGGCUGUCCAUUUGAAUCCCCAGGAAAACUAUACAGGAUGCACUGUUUCAAGGACUGACCUGUGGGGAAAUUUGGAAUAAGAAACUACUGCCCGAGGCAAAGCUCUCUUUCUACUUUAUGCAAAAUGACCUCUUCUUACUGCAAAAUAAAAGGACUGUUUUACUCGUAUUGUCAUUUUAGAGAUGCUAAAGUUAUGACAACCCUUUCAUGUGUAUCUGUUAUUUUUAGAAAUUGUUCUGACCUGUAAGAUCCAAAAUUAGAUGCUAAUUUCCCCAGUUUUCUCAUUUUAUAGGUUAGGAAACUGAGGCCCAUAGACAAGAAUAGCCAACUCAAGUUUUCCUAAUAUAAUGUUUUGAAAUAAAUGAAAGAGUUAAUUUUAAUUGUGUCAUAGUCUACAUGUAACUUUGAAGCCUCAGUCAGAAAAAUACAACAUAUUUGGAAAAGAGAACAGACAAGAUUUUUUUUUAAAUUAUGAGACUCUGGCCCAAAAUUAAGAUUGCAAGCCACUGAGGGAUGGCAUAGCAUGAAUCAGUCCCCAAAUAAGACAGGCAAUGGAACCAAGGCAAACAUCAAAAGAUCAUUCACAGACUAUUGAUGGUAUAAAGC